UACAGAGGUCUCAAGCGUUGUUCGGAUUCAUUGGGCGUAAAGGGCGCGUAGGCGGCGCGAGUAGUCAACGGUGAAAGCCCGGGGCUCAACCCCGGGUCGGCCGUCGAUACUCUCGUGCUUGAGCACUGUAGAGGCAGGUGGAAUUCCGGGUGUAGCGGUGGAAUGCGUAGAGAUCCGGAAGAACACCGGUGGCGAAGGCGGCCUGCUGGGCAGUAGCUGACGCUGAGGCGCGACAGCGUGGGGAGCAAACAGG
rnacentral:rRNA from 1 species